CGCCGCCGUAUGCGGGCGGCUCGGCAUCGCGCAUGUGGAGCGCGACUGCGCGGGAGCGUUCGAGCGCCAGGUGGUCGCGCCGUUCGUCGACGC
rnacentral:tRNA from 1 species